rnacentral:rRNA from 1 species
GGUUAAGCGACUAAGCGUACACGGUGGAUGCCCUGGCAGUCAGAGGCGAUGAAGGACGUGCUAAUCUGCGAAAAGCGUCGGUAAGGUGAUAUGAACCGUUAUAACCGGCGAUGUCCGAAUGGGGAAACCCAGUGUGAUUCGUCACACUAUCGUUAACUGAAUACAUAGGUUAACGAGGCGAACCGGGGGAACUGAAACAUCUAAGUACCCCGAGGAAAAGAAAUCAACCGAGAUUCCCCCAGUAGCGGCGAGCGAACGGGGAGCAGCCCAGAGUCUGAAUCAGCUUGUGUGUUAGUGGAACGGUCUGGAAAGUCCGACGGUACAGGGUGAUAGUCCCGUACACCAAAAUGCACAGGUUGUGAACUCGAAGAGUAGGGCGGGACACGUGGUAUCCUGUCUGAAUAUGGGGGGACCAUCCUCCAAGGCUAAAUACUCCUGACUGACCGAUAGUGAACCAGUACCGUGAGGGAAAGGCGAAAAGAACCCCGGCGAGGGGAGUGAAAAAGAACCUGAAACCGUGUACGUACAAGCAGUGGGAGCACCUUCGGGUGUGACUGCGUACCUUUUGUAUAAUGGGUCAGCGACUUAUAUUCUGUAGCAAGGUUAACCGUAUAGGGGAGCCGCAGGGAAACCGAGUCUUAACUGGGCGUUAAGUUGCAGGGUAUAGACCCGAAACCCGGUGAUCUAGCCAUGGGCAGGUUGAAGGUUGGGUAACACUAACUGGAGGACCGAACCGACUAAUGUUGAAAAAUUAGCGGAUGACUUGUGGCUGGGGGUGAAAGGCCAAUCAAACCGGGAGAUAGCUGGUUCUCCCCGAAAGCUAUUUAGGUAGCGCCUCGUGAACUCAUCUUCGGGGGUAGAGCACUGUUUCGGCUAGGGGGUCAUCCCGACUUACCAACCCGAUGCAAACUACGAAUACCGAAGAAUGUUAUCACGGGAGACACACGGCGGGUGCUAACGUCCGUCGUGAAGAGGGAAACAACCCAGACCGCCAGCUAAGGUCCCAAAGUCAUGGUUAAGUGGGAAACGAUGUGGGAAGGCACAGACAGCCAGGAUGUUGGCUUAGAAGCAGCCAUCAUUUAAAGAAAGCGUAAUAGCUCACUGGUCGAGUCGGCCUGCGCGGAAGAUGUAACGGGGCUAAACCAUGCACCGAAGCUGCGGCAGCGACACUAUGUGUUGUUGGGUAGGGGAGCGUUCUGUAAGCCUGCGAAGGUGUGCUGUGAGGCAUGCUGGAGGUAUCAGAAGUGCGAAUGCUGACAUAAGUAACGAUAAAGCGGGUGAAAAGCCCGCUCGCCGGAAGACCAAGGGUUCCUGUCCAACGUUAAUCGGGGCAGGGUGAGUCGACCCCUAAGGCGAGGCCGAAAGGCGUAGUCGAUGGGAAACAGGUUAAUAUUCCUGUACUUGGUGUUACUGCGAAGGGGGGACGGAGAAGGCUAUGUUAGCCGGGCGACGGUUGUCCCGGUUUAAGCAUGUAGGCUGAUUAUCCAGGCAAAUCCGGAUAAUCAAGGCUGAGGUGUGAUGACGAGGCACUACGGUGCUGAAGUAACAAAUGCCCUGCUUCCAGGAAAAGCCUCUAAGCAUCAGGUAACAUUAAAUCGUACCCCAAACCGACACAGGUGGUCAGGUAGAGAAUACCAAGGCGCUUGAGAGAACUCGGGUGAAGGAACUAGGCAAAAUGGUGCCGUAACUUCGGGAGAAGGCACGCUGGUGUGUAGGUGAAGCCCCUGCGGGUGGAGCUGAGACCAGUCGAAGAUACCAGCUGGCUGCAACUGUUUAUUAAAAACACAGCACUGUGCAAACACGAAAGUGGACGUAUACGGUGUGACGCCUGCCCGGUGCCGGAAGGUUAAUUGAUGGGGUUAUCCGUAAGGAGAAGCUCUUGAUCGAAGCCCCGGUAAACGGCGGCCGUAACUAUAACGGUCCUAAGGUAGCGAAAUUCCUUGUCGGGUAAGUUCCGACCUGCACGAAUGGCGUAAUGAUGGCCAGGCUGUCUCCACCCGAGACUCAGUGAAAUUGAACUCGCUGUGAAGAUGCAGUGUACCCGCGGCAAGACGGAAAGACCCCGUGAACCUUUACUAUAGCUUGACACUGAACAUUGAGCCUUGAUGUGUAGGAUAGGUGGGAGGCUUUGAAGCGUGGACGCCAGUCUGCGUGGAGCCAACCUUGAAAUACCACCCUUUAAUGUUUGAUGUUCUAACGUUGGCCCCUGACCGGGGUUGCGGACAGUGUCUGGUGGGUAGUUUGACUGGGGCGGUCUCCUCCCAAAGCGUAACGGAGGAGCACGAAGGUUAGCUAAUCCUGGUCGGACAUCAGGAGGUUAGUGCAAUGGCAUAAGCUAGCUUGACUGCGAGCGUGACGGCGCGAGCAGGUGCGAAAGCAGGUCAUAGUGAUCCGGUGGUUCUGAAUGGAAGGGCCAUCGCUCAACGGAUAAAAGGUACUCCGGGGAUAACAGGCUGAUACCGCCCAAGAGUUCAUAUCGACGGCGGUGUUUGGCACCUCGAUGUCGGCUCAUCACAUCCUGGGGCUGAAGUAGGUCCCAAGGGUAUGGCUGUUCGCCAUUUAAAGUGGUACGCGAGCUGGGUUUAGAACGUCGUGAGACAGUUCGGUCCCUAUCUGCCGUGGGCGCUGGAGAAUUGAGGGGGGCUGCUCCUAGUACGAGAGGACCGGAGUGGACGCAUCACUGGUGUUCGGGUUGUCAUGCCAAUGGCACUGCCCGGUAGCUAAAUGCGGAAGAGAUAAGUGCUGAAAGCAUCUAAGCACGAAACUUGCCCCGAGAUGAGUUCUCCCUGAGACUUUAAGUCUCCUGAAGGAACGUUGAAGACGACGACGUUGAUAGGCCGGGUGUGUAAGCGCAGCGAUGCGUUGAGCUAACCGGUACUAAUGAACCGUGAGGCUUAACCUU